AGGCGCGUAGCUCAGGGGGAGAGCGCUUCCUUGACACGGAAGAGGUCGGCGGUUCGAAACCGCCCGUGCCUACCA
rnacentral:tRNA from 1 species